rnacentral:rRNA from 1 species
CUACGGGCGGCUGCAGUGAGGAAUAUUGGGCAAUGGGCGAAAGCCUGACCCAGCCAUGCCGCGUGAAGGAUGACUGCCCUAUGGGUUGUAAACUUCUUUUGUAAGGGAAGAAUGAUUCCUACGUGUAGGAAUGUGACGGUACCUUAUGAAUAAGCACCGGCUAACUCCGUGCCAGCAGCCGCGGUAAUACGGAGGGUGCAAGCGUUAUCUGGAUUUAUUGGGUUUAAAGGGUGCGUAGGCGGAAUUUUAAGUCAGUGGUGAAAUCCUGCAGCUCAACUGUAGAACUGCCAUUGAUACUGAUCUUCUUGAAUUUAGUUGAGGUGGGCGGAACGUGUAAUGUAGCGGUGAAAUGCUUAGAUAUUACACAGAACACCGAUUGCGAAGGCAGCUCACUAAACUAACAUUGACGCUGAGGCACGAAAGCGUGGGUAGCGAACAGGAUUAGAUACCCUCGUAGUC